UACGUAGGUGGCAAGCGUUGUCCGGAAUUAUUGGGCGUAAAGCGCGCGCAGGCGGUCCCUUAAGUCUGAUGUGAAAGCCCACGGCUCAACCGUGGAGGGUCAUUGGAAACUGGGGGACUUGAGUACAGAAGAGGAAAGCGGAAUUCCACGUGUAGCGGUGAAAUGCGUAGAUAUCUGGAGGAACACCGGUGGCGAAGGCGGCGUUCUGGACUGCUACUGACACUGAGGAACGAAAGCCAGGGGAGCAAACGGG
rnacentral:rRNA from 1 species